AGUGAGCCCAAUAGGCAAGAGUUGGAUUCGGCCUACCUUCAGCUCAAGCUUAACGUAAAGAAGAAAGCAGAAAACUGAGCGAAAGUGGAGAAAGACAGAAAGAAAGAAAGAAAGACGCAGAAAGGGAAUUGACACAGACAACAGCAACAACAAAGGUUAAGUUGGUGAUAUAGAGUAUGAGUGGUGCUCCUGUUAAAAGAUCGCAUGAAGAGGGUGGUCAUUCUUCUUCUUUGAAAUUCUCUCCUCAUGAAGAUACAGGUUCGUAUCUCAUGCUGACAUCAGGGGUUUCAAAUGAGUACCAUCUACCAUAUGAGAUGGGUCCAGAUGCUAGGGUGGCUAAGAUUCCCAGAACUGAGUCUCAAGACGUAGAUAGAAGAUCACCUUUGCAUUCGAUGUAUCGAAUCCCACCAUCUUCAAAUGAAUCACACAUGGAUUCUCAUUUGAAUGUUGCUCCUGAAAGAAGGCCUGAAUCAAGGGAUUCCAAGGACAGCAGAGACUACCGGAUUGAAAACCGUGACCCAAGGACUGAUGCAAGAGAGAUGUAUGGUGAGGUAAAGAGGGAUUCACAAAGUGUUAAACAUGAAAAGGAUGUGAGGUUUGAGAGUAGAGGGGAUGGCAAUAAGGAAGCAAAGCAUGACAAAGAAGCUCAUAUUGAGCCAAAGAAUGACAUUAAGAUAGAAAAGGAUGGUUUUGGUCCUGCAAGUAGUCAGGUGAAUUGGAAGGAACCAAAAGAAUACCAUAGGGGAAAGAGAUGUCUGGAAUUUGCAGGUGUACAUGUGGAUCCUUGGCAUAUAUCACAUUUUAAUUCCCAAGGCCCCGCUGAGAUUGAAAAGGAAGUCGUCAGUAUUGAGGAGAGGGAUCAUGCCAAAGUUCACAAGGCAGUUGGAGAAAAUAAAGUUGAAUUGAAAGGUGAGGAUAGAUUUAAAGACAAGGAUAGGAAGAGAAAAGAUUUGAAGCUCCAGGAAUGGGGAGACAGAGAUAAGGAAAGAAGUGAUCGAAGGGGAAAUAAGCAAGUAGGCAACAGUAUUGCUGAGGGAAAAGAGUCGGUGAAGGUAGAGAGAGAAGGAGAGAGGUGGGAGUGGGAGAGGAAGGAUCUGUCAAAAGACAGGGAAAGGUUAAAAGAGAGGGAGAAGGACCACAUGAAAAGAGAAUCAGGAACUGGAGCUGAAAAGGAGGGUUUGCACAGUGAAAAGGAAUCUGUGGAUGGAUCUGUCAGAAUUUCAGAACAGGAAAAUCCAGCUUUGGAGCCAAAGAAACAGAAAGAUUUUGAUAACCGGAAAAAUGUUGAUAAAGAAGCUAAAGAUAAAAAGAAAGAAAGAGAAGCUGACAUAGAAGUAGAUAGACCUGAGAAGGGCAGCACGAUGUGCAGGAAAGAAUCUGAUGAUGGAUGUGCAGAUGGUGAAAUUGCAACUGAAAGGGAAAGAGGAGUUUUUAACUAUGGAGUCCAGCAGCGCAAGAGGAUGCUUUGGCCUAGGGGCAGCCCCCAAGUGGCAAAUUGUGAACCCUGUUUUAGGUCCCAUACUCAGGACUGUGAGGGAUGCCAAGGCAAAUCUGAGGUACCCUCUGUCAUUUAUAAAGUUAGUGAAUGCAUGCAAGAGCUGAUAAAGUUAUGGAUGGAGUAUGAAGCAUCUCAAUCUGAUAAACAUGGUGAAAACAACCACAAGGGACCCACUCUUGAAAUUCGAAUACCAGCAGAACAUAUUACUGCUACAAAUCGCCAAGUAAGAGGUGGACAAUUAUGGGGGACAGAUAUAUACACAAAUGACUCUGAUCUUGUCGCUGUUCUCAUGCAUACAGGCUACUUCCGUCCCACUGCUUCUCCUCCUCCACCUGCCAUCCAAGAGUUAUGUGCUACUGUCAGAGUGUUGCCUCCACAAGAUAGCUACAUUUCUAUGCUGAGAAAUAAUGUUCGUUCACGUGCCUGGGGAGCUGGAAUUGGUUGUAGCUACCAUGUUGAGCGUUGCUGCAUCGUGAAGAAAGGAGGUGGAACCAUCUAUCUUGAGCCCUGUCUUACGCAUACAUCAGCAGUGGAACCUACUCUUGCUCCUGUGGCUGUUGAGCGGACAAUGACUACCCGUGCUGCAGCUUCGAAUGCAUUGCGGCAACAGAGAUUUGUACGUGAAGUUACAAUACAGUACAACCUUUGCAAUGAGCCGUGGAUAAAAUACAGCAUUAGUAUUGUUGCUGACAAGGGUCUGAAAAAGCCUCAAUAUACUUCUGCACGUUUGAAAAAGGGAGAAGUUCUAUAUUUAGAAACACAUUCAUGCAGGUACGAGCUCUGUUUUACAGGAGAGAAAAUGGUGAAAGUGACACGGGCUUCUCAGGUGCAUGAAGAGACAUACAAGUUCCAUAAUCACCACCCACAUUCCUCAAACGGUGAGAAACACGACUCUGAUAAUGUUCUUAUUGAUGUAUUCCGGUGGUCUCGCUGUAAGAAACCACUACUGCAGAAGGUCAUGCAGUCAGUUGGGAUCCCAUUGCCCCUGGAACAUGUUGAGGUAUUGGAGGAGAGUCUUGACUGGGAGGAUGUGCAAUGGUCACAAACUGGUGUUUGGAUAGAUGGAAAAGAAUUCACACUUGCUAGGUUUAUAAAAAAUCGAUUUGACUAUAUCCGUACCAGAGUAUUUGAGCAACCAAAACAGAAGUACUGGAACUUCGAAUAUUGGGAAGUCUGGCAUUUCUUCCAUUCCAAGCAAAGCUAAUGACUAAAGGAAAGCAUCUCUCUGCAAUUUCUUAUUAGCAAAAUUAAUUUCAGUAGACCAGAUUGAUCGAAUUUGUAUCCAUGUUCUCCUGACUACUUGGGACACUUUGCUUGAAGACAUCACGAGAUCCAGAUAUUUAAUAUGAAAUUCAUCACAAGCUGAUGAGGUCACUUCUUUGCCAAAAGCAGAGAGUAACAGCAUAGUCAGGGUCUGUUAAACCAACUAGCUAGAAUUCAUGUGUUGAAAUACAAAAAACUACAAGGAAAACGAGAGAUCACACAGAGACUACAUCUUCCAGUAUCAAUUCUGUUAGAUUAAAGAUUUCAUCUUGGUGCAAGUGCAAAAGCCAAACGGAUCUGCAAGUUACAGUGUGCCAGAUGGGAAGCAACGUCAGAGCCCUCUCAAACAAGGAAGGAGAUAGUUUUAUCCAUGCUAGCUGCUGACCCGAGUACUGAAUUAUGUUAUUACUGGCCAAGUGAUUUUCUUUGGAGUUUGUAUCUUCAUUAAUUCAUUAGACUUAAGGAUUUAAAGCUGUGUAAUGUGAACUCGAUGACAAUUCGUUGUAUAGUAUUGGGAACCGUCUAUUCGAUGUUUAUAUCCAGGUAACCAAACGUUUUCUC